GCGAGGACGAGGAACUUAUCGCCGGAGCCAACCACGCGGACGUUGAGGGCGUCGAUUAUGCUGGUGCUGACCAUCUUUGACUGUUAACCGGAGGGCAUAUGGUUUUGGACGAAGCUUUUAUCCUGUGUGAUAAGGCAGGUUUUUGAUUGUGAUCUUUUUCCACUCGGAUAGUACUUGGCCUUCAAAGAGGUGGCCCGGGUGUUGUGUUCUUAGAUGAGGUUUUUUAUUAGAAUUUUCAGUUUGGUUCAUACCAAAUACAAUUUGGUGUUUUGUGGCUCAUACUUCCUGCCAAUAGCAGCAGUGUGACGCUGAUAUGUGUGCAUAAGUUUUUCCUUUUGUAUUUUAAAUGAAUUAUUUUUAUAUAUGUGUCAAAUUGUAAUUCGCAUGAA